rnacentral:rRNA from 1 species
GACGAACGCUGGCGGCGUGCCUAACACAUGCAAGUCGAACGGAGAUAGUUAAUGAAGCUUGCGAUUUAGCUAUCUUAGUGGCGAACGGGUGAGUAACGCGUGGGUAACCUGCCCUUAAGACCGGGACAACAGCUGGAAACGGCUGCUAAUACCGGAUGUAUUGUCCGAGAGGCAUCUCUUGGAGAAGAAAGCUGGCCUCUGAAAAUGCUAGCGCUUAGGGAUGGACCCGCGUCUGAUUAGCUAGUUGGUGGGGUAAAAGCCUACCAAGGCGACGAUCAGUAGCCGGCCCGAGAGGGUAAACGGCCACACUGGGACUGAGACACGGCCCAGACUCCUACGGGAGGCAGCAGUGGGGAAUCUUCCGCAAUGGGCGAAAGUCUGACGGAGCAACGCCGCGUGUAUGAAGAAGGCCUUCGGGUUGUAAAAUACUGUUGUUAGGGAAGAACGGCAUCUGUGUAAAUAAUGCAGGUGAUUGACGGUACCUAACGAGGAAGCCCCGGCUAACUACGUGCCAGCAGCCGCGGUAAUACGUAGGGGGCAAGCGUUGUCCGGAAUCAUUGGGCGUAAAGGGCGCGUAGGCGGCUAUAUAAGUCUGAUGUGAAAGUGCGGAGCUUAACU